rnacentral:lncRNA from 1 species
CUUUAUAGUCCAUGAUCUCUCACACAGUUGCAUUAUUGUUUAUAGCAUAAUGGCAUAAUCAGCAUGCUUAUCUUAAUUAAGUAAGAACUCUUAUUAAAGAGUAAAAAUGAUGAGCUACUACAUUCUAGCCAUACAAUGGCCUUACCCUAGGUAUUCUAACAAUAGUUCUUGGCUGACAGAGGAUUAGGAAGAAAUCUUGUCCGUGAUGGACUUGUACUUAAUCAUAUGUGCCCCUAAAUCUAUCCCUAUAAUAUUAGAGAGUUUGAAAUUUUCUUUUAGCUAUAGUUGUUUCCAAGAAAACUAGAGCUGUUUAGAAAUUUAGCAUGUAAAUCUUGGUCUGAGGUCCUUUGUAGUUUGGUAUAUAGAUAUUAAGAACUAAAAAUUGAACCUAAAAGAAAGUAAUAAUGGCAUAUACAUUUCCUUCCAACAGGAUUGAUGUAAAUUUAAUAAUAUUCACUAAGUAUAUAAGAACAUUGCAUAUUUUA